rnacentral:rRNA from 1 species
UACGUAGGGUGCAAGCGUUAAUCGGAAUUACUGGGCGUAAAGCGUGCGCAGGCGGUUCGUUGUGUCUGCUGUGAAAUCCCCGGGCUCAACCUGGGAAUGGCAGUGGAAACUGGCGAGCUUGAGUGUGGCAGAGGGGGGUGGAAUUCCGCGUGUAGCAGUGAAAUGCGUAGAGAUGCGGAGGAACACCGAUGGCGAAGGCAACCCCCUGGGCUAACACUGACGCUCAGGCACGAAAGCGUGGGGAGCAAACAGG